rnacentral:rRNA from 1 species
CUGAUAGCGCCCAAGCGUUCAUAGCGACGGCGCUGUUUGGCACCUCGAUGUCGGCUCAACACAUCCUGGGGCUGGAGAAGGUCCCAAGGGUUUGGCUGUUCGCCAAUUAAAGUGUUACGCGAGCUGGGUUCAGAACGUCGUGAGACAGUUCGGUCCUCUAUCCGCUGUGGGCGCAGGAGAUUUGUGGGAUUCAUUUUCUAGUACGAGAGGACCGAAAAUGACAAGCCUCUGGUGUUCCGGUUAUCAUGUCAGUGGUAGCGCCGGGUAGCUAUGCUUGGAAUAGAUAAGCGCUGAAAGCAUCUAAGCGCCAAGCUACUCCCGAGAUGAGAUCUCCCGGGGCCUUCGGGUCCCAAUUAAGAGUCCUGGUAGACCACCAGGUUGAUAGGUGGGGUGUGUAAGCGUAGCGAUGCGUUGAGCUAACCCAUACUAAUGACUCGAAUGACUUAAUCGU